GAGCAGAAGAAAGAAGAAGAGAAGAAGGAAGAGGAGGAGGAGGACAAAGAGGAGGAGGAGGAAGAGGAGACACUGACCAGAUGUUGUGGCAUACAACCUUGAGUCGCUCGCAAAGAAACUGAAACCCAGAACUGAGAGAUAGCUGGGAUGAAUUCCACAUUCUCAUUGGGGCUGCCUGCUUCCCAAGAAGAGCAUUUCCAGAUCGUUCCUGUUCAGGCAUUGUAAGUACCAGCAACUGGCCCCGGCAUGGCAUAGAGCAGAUCUGAAACACGUGCAUGCUCAGUGUAGGGAUCAAUGACUUCAUCAAGGUGGCCAGGGUCUGGACCACAGCUUCCAACCAGCUGCCAACUGCCUCCCACCUCACCUUCAACCUCAGACUGGACUUUUGGGGAUUGGUAAGUUCUGUUUCAUUUCUCUGGGUCUCCUCUG
rnacentral:lncRNA from 1 species